rnacentral:rRNA from 1 species
GAUGAACGCUGGCGGCGUGCUUAACACAUGCAAGUCGAACGGAAAGGCCCUGCUUUUGUGGGGUGCUCGAGUGGCGAACGGGUGAGUAACACGUGAGUAACCUGCCCUUGACUUUGGGAUAACUUCAGGAAACUGGGGAUAAUACCGGAUAGGAGCUCCUGCUGCAUGGUGGGGGUUGGAAAGUUUCGGCGGUUGGGGAUGGACUCGCGGCUUAUCAGCUUGUUGGUGGGGUAGUGGCUUACCAAGGCUUUGACGGGUAGGCGGCCUGAGAGGGUGACAGGACACAUUGGGACUAAGAUACGGACCAGACUCCUACGGGAGGCAGCAGUGGGGAAUAUUGCACAGUGGGGGGAAGCCUGAUGCAGAAACGCCGCGUGCGGGAAGACCGCCUUCGGGUGAUAAACCGCUUUAGCCUGAGACGAAGCGUGAGUGACGGUAAUGAGUAAAGAAGCACCGGCUAACUACGUG